CGCAUACGUCCUACGGGAGAAAGCAGGGGACCUUCGGGCCUUGCGCUAUCAGAUGAGCCUAGGUCGGAUUAGCUAGUUGGUGGGGUAAUGGCUCACCAAGGCGAGGAUCCGUAACUGGUCUGAGAGGAUGAUCAGUCACACUGGGAACUGAGACACGGUCCAGACUCCUACGGGAGGCAGCAGUGGGGAAUAUUGGACAAUGGGCGAAAGCCGGAUCCAAAAGGGCCGCGUGUGUGAAGAAGGUCUUCGGAUUGU
rnacentral:rRNA from 1 species